rnacentral:rRNA from 1 species
GGUGAUAUGAACCGUUAUAACCGGCGAUACCCGAAUGGGGAAACCCAGUGUGAUUCGUCACACUAUCAUUAACUGAAUCCAUAGGUUAAUGAGGCGAACCGGGGGAACUGAAACAUCUAAGUACCCCGAGGAAAAGAAAUCAACCGAGAUUCCCCCAGUAGCGGCGAGCGAACGGGGAGGAGCCCAGAGCCUGAAUCAGCAUGUGUGUUAGUGGAAGCGUCUGGAAAGGCGCGCGAUACAGGGUGACAGCCCCGUACACAAAAGCGCAUGUGCUGUGAGCUCGAUGAGUAGGGCGGGACACGU